CAGGUAUAUAACAUAUUGUUUUGUUUGAUAUUUGUUUUAUAAAUUUCGAAUUCCAACGUAUAAUAAUGUAAUUUUAUAACCGUACACAUAAUAAUAAUAUUGUUAUAAAUUCGUAUUUUUCAAUUUAUUUAUUACACGGCAUGUUUCACACAACGACAAUUCGGCGGCGGGCACGUUAUACAGGCACCCGCGCACGGUGGACAAACGGGGCGCGCGGCGUAUUUUCGAAUGGCGCGUUAUACAGAGCGCGGGCCGGGGCACCGCCGCGAACGCCCGCGGCGGUGCCCGUAACGCGCUGUUGAAUUCGCGAUUCGAACGGCC